rnacentral:lncRNA from 1 species
CCUCAAUCCUAUUUUCCGGGGACUACGACAAGUGGCAUUUCCCAAUUACAAAGUGUGGGUCACCACAGUUGCAGCUACCGUACAAGCCAAACGUCUGCUCGCUUCAGAUUGCGAGAAUAAAAGUGAAUUCGUAAUAGACGAUCUGGUUCGCAGGCCUAACGGUUUAAUCGUCCUGCCUCCUGCCUCUCCCCGGGCGUCCACUGACGGGAGAUGGCGCCUGGAGGGGGCGCCUGCUGCGCGGCUGUGGUUCCAAGAUGUAUUGAAACUUCACUAUGUCCAUAUUGGGAGGGGCACAGGGGAAGAAAAAGAAAAAAGGUCAGGAGAAAACAACCAUAAAGAGCAUCUUUUUGGUAUAGUCGUUUCUUUCAGAACCAGGGGAACUAAGCAGACAUUUUUAUAGCCUGGCGGAGAAGAGUGCAGACUUGGCUCGUUGCUUAGCAACAUAAAGUGCUAAUAAAAACCAUUAAGGUGAAAACUUACAAUGAGAGACAGGUGGUACAAAGUAAAUGGCUGUUGCUGCAUCUCACUAUUGAAAUGCUUGAUGGCUAAGUGCAGAGAGGUAGUCUUGUUUCCAAAUAUGUCUCUGCAGACAGAUACCAAACACUUCCUUGGGAAUGAAAGGAAAUGGAGCUGCUGGUAUAUUAAGCUCAGUCUAAUUCUGCCAUUAAUUUAUGAUGUGGGCAUUCUAAGAUGGCCAAAGUGGUUAGCAUGAGUUUACUAUGAAUUUGUCCUGUCUGAAGAUAUUAAGCCACCAGAGGGAGCCCAAGUUUGUUUCCUACAAAACUCCAAGGUAAGUUGCCGUUCAAAAGACUGUGAUGCUCAGCCCAUGAUGGUUUCAACUCUUGGAGGGCUCUGUGCUGGAAAGUGGCAUGGAGACGCAGGACUGAUGACCGCAGGACUGAUGACCGCAGGACCACCGGUAUGAACUGGAAGACGGCUGGGCUAGUGCUCACAGCCUGACUAGGCAAUUCUGACCUUUUCAGUUGUGGUUCACUGCUGCUUAGUAGGAAGGUCUUUUCCCCUCCCUCUCAACUUGUCCACCUCCAAAGGUUCUUACAGUGACGGUGAAAUGACAAUCCCUGGAAAGGUGUAAUUACAGCCUAAUGAAC